GGAGCCACGUACAAGUCAGGGGAUGCACAUGCAUCCUCUCAACUUUUGAAAAAUACACCAAUAAUCCAUUUUUUUUGCACUAUAGUUUUUUUUAUUGCAUACCCUCAACCUUUAUUUGUACUUUCAACUCACUCUAUUUUAUGGAUAAACGGCUAAUCCUCUUUUGUCUACUUUUUUGUUGUCUUGGCCUAUAUUAUAUUUCGCCUCUCUUGCCCAUCAGGUGUUCGUUUUGUACUUAAUCCUCGAAUAAGCUUUUAUUGUAUUGUUUUUGUCCUUACUUUGAACACAUGAUUGAGUGAGUUCUCUACAACCCUUAAUAUGUGGUGGGUAUAGAGUUGCUUACUAUGUGUGUUUGGACCUUGAUUAAUGAAAUGAAAUUUAUUUAUCGAAGUUAAAAAAU
rnacentral:lncRNA from 1 species